AUUGAACGCUGGCGGCAGGCUUAACACAUGCAAGUCGAGCGGAGAGAGGUAGCUUGCUACCGAUCUUAGCGGCGGACGGGUGAGUAAUGCUUAGGAAUCUGCCUAUUAGUGGGGGACAACAUUUCGAAAGGAAUGCUAAUACCGCAUACGUCCUACGGGAGAAAGCAGGGGAUCUUCGGACCUUGCGCUAAUAGAUGAGCCUAAGUCGGAUUAGCUAGUUGGUGGGGUAAAGGCCUACCAAGGCGACGAUCUGUAGCGGGUCUGAGAGGAUGAUCCGCCACACUGGGACUGAGACACGGCCCAGACUCCUACGGGAGGCAGCAGUGGGGAAUAUUGGACAAUGGGCGCAAGCCUGAUCUAGCCAUGCCGCGUGUGUGAAGAAGGCCUUAUGGUUGUAAAGCACUUUAAGCGAGGAGGAGGCUACUUUAGUAAAUACCUAGAGAUAGUGGACGUUACUCGCAGAAUAAGCACCGGCUAACUCUGUGCCAGCCGCCGCUGUAACAC
rnacentral:rRNA from 1 species